rnacentral:rRNA from 1 species
UACGUAGGGUGCGAGCGUUGUCCGGAUUUAUUGGGCGUAAAGAGCUCGUAGGCGGUUUGUCGCGUCGGCCGUGAAAUCUCCACGCUUAACGUGGAGCGUGCGGUCGAUACGGGCAGACUUGAGUUCGGUAGGGGAGACUGGAAUUCCUGGUGUAGCGGUGAAAUGCGCAGAUAUCAGGAGGAACACCGGUGGCGAAGGCGGGUCUCUGGGCCGAUACUGACGCUGAGGAGCGAAAGCGCGGGGAGCGAACAGG